AGCGAACGCUGGCGGCAGGCCUAACACAUGCAAGUCGAACGAACUCUUCGGAGUUAGUGGCGGACGGGUGAGUAACACGUGGGAACGUGCCUUUUGGUUCGGAAUAACUCAGGGAAACUUGUGCUAAUACCGAAUGUGCCCUUCGGGGGAAAGAUUUAUCGCCAUUAGAGCGGCCCGCGUCUGAUUAGCUAGUUGGUGAGGUAACGGCUCACCAAGGCGACGAUCAGUAGCUGGUCUGUGAGGAUGACCAGCCACACUGGGACUGGGACACGGCCCAGACUCCUACGGGAGGCAGCAGUGGGGAAUCUUGCGCAAUGGGCGAAAGCCUGACGCAGCCAGGCCGCGUGAAUGAUGAAGGUCUUAGGAUUGUAAAAUUCUUUCACCGGGGACGAUAAUGACGGUACCCGGAGAAGAAGCCCCGGCUAACUUCGUG
rnacentral:rRNA from 1 species